AUGAUGUUGGCUGUGGGUUUCUCAUAGAUGGCUCUUACUGUUUUGAAGCAUGCUCUUUCAAUUCCUAGUUUAUUGAGUUUUUUUUUUUUUUUUUUAACAAGGAGAAAUGUUGAAUUUUGUUGAAACCCUUCUGCAACUGAGAUGAUCAUGUGGUUUUUGUUUUUAGUUGUGUUUUUGUGAUUAAUUACAUUUUGCAUAUGUUGAACCAACCUUGCAUCCCAGGGAUAAACCCUACUUGGUUAUGGUGGCUUAACUUUUAGACGUACUGCUGCAUUUGGUUUGCUACUAUUUUGUUUAUGAUUUUUGUAUUUGUGUUCAUCAAGGAUACUGGCCUGAAGUUUUCUUUUUUGUUGUUUCUCUGACAGAUUUUGAUAUCAGGAUGAUGCCGGCCUCAUGGAAAGAGUUACAAAGGAGUCCCUCCUCCUCAAUUUAUUGCAGCGGUUUUAUUAGAAAUGAUACAGUGAAAAUAUGACCUUUUGAAAGUCAAGAAGAGGAUCUGCAACAGAAACAAAAUAUGCUGGUGCCUUGAUCUUAGACCUUCCAGCCUUGAGAUGGUGAGAAACAAGUAUUUGUUGUUUAUGCCACUCAGUCAUAUUUGUUGAAGAAUCUCAAAUUGACUAAGACAAUGAAUUUCAGAGAGACAUGAAUAUUUGAUCUAUAACAUGUCAGAAGAGAUUUAUACUACAUUUAUCUGCAAGCUCUCAGUCUGUCUACUCACUCCAUCACUAGGGAGGUGUAGUGAUUUUUAAUUGACAUAAUUGCAAUUGUACAUAUUUAUGGCAAACAAUUUGAUGUUUAGAUACAUACAUCUGUUGUGUAAAUAUCAAAUCAUACUAUUUGGUGUAUUCAAC
rnacentral:lncRNA from 1 species